AUUGAACGCUGGCGGCAGGCCUAACACAUGCAAGUCGAACGGUAACAGGAAGAAGCUUGCUUCUUUGCUGACGAGUGGCGGACGGGUGAGUAAUGUCUGGUAAACUGCCUGAUGGAGGGGGAUAACUACUGGAAACGGUAUCUAAUACCGCAUAACUUCGCAAUACCAAAGAGGUGGACCUUCGGGCCUCUUUCCAUCAUAUGUGCCCAGAUGGGAUUAGCUAGUAGGUGGGGUAACGGCUCACCUAGGCGACGAUCCCUAGCUGGUCUGAGAGGAUGACCAGCCACACUGGAACUGAGACACGGUCCAGACUCCUACGGGAGGCAGAAGUGGGGAAUAUUGCACAAUGGGCGCAAGCCUGAUGCAGCCACGCCGCGUGUAUGAAGAAGGCCUUCGGGUUGUAAAGUACUUUCAGCGGGGAGGAAGGGAGUAAAGUUAAUACCUUUGCUAAUUGACGUUACCAGAAGAAGAAGCACCGGCUAACUACGUG
rnacentral:rRNA from 1 species